rnacentral:rRNA from 1 species
AUUGAACGCUGGCGGCAGGCUUAACACAUGCAAGUCGAGCGGGGGAAGGUAGCUUGCUACCGGACCUAGCGGCGGACGGGUGAGUAAUGCUUAGGAACCUGCCUAUUAGUGGGGGACAACAUCUCGAAAGGGAUGCUAAUACCGCAUACGUCCUACGGGAGAAAGCAGGGGAUCUUCGGACCUUGCGCUAAUAGAUGAGCCUAAGUCGGAUUAGCUAGUUGGUGGGGUAAAGGCCUACCAAGGCGACGAUCUGUAGCGGGUAUGAGAGGAUGAUCCGCCACACUGGGACUGAGACACGGCCCAGACUCCUACGGGAGGCAGCAGUGGGGAAUAUUGGACAAUGGGGGGAACCCUGAUCCAGCCAUGCCGCGUGUGUGAAGAAGGCCUUAUGGUUGUAAAGCACUUUAAGCGAGGAGGAGGCUACUCUAGUUAAUACCUAGGGAUAGUGGACGUUACUCGCAGAAUAAGCACCGGCUAACUCUGUGCCAGCCGCCGCGGUAA